UACGUAGGGUGCGAGCGUUGUCCGGAAUUACUGGGCGUAACGAGCUGGUAGUGGGUUUGUCGCGUUGUCGGUGAAAUUCCCUGGCUUAACUGGGGGCGUGCGGGCGAUACGGGCAGACUGGAGUACUGCAGGGGAGACUGGAAUUCCUGGUGUAGCGGUGGAAUGCGCAGAUAUCAGGAGGAACACCGGUGGCGAAGGCGGGUCUCUGGGCAGUAACUGACGCUGAGGAGCGAAAGCGUGGGGAGCGAACAGG
rnacentral:rRNA from 1 species